AACAGCAAAUGGAAGACCCUGAGACAGGAGAGUGCCUGAUACACUCAAGUUCCAGCAAGAGUCCAUGGCAGCUAAGUCACAGUGAGCAAGGGGAACAAGGAUGAGAGAUGCAGUCAAAGAGGCCAUCGUGAGGGCUCUUGUCGGUUGGCCAUGGUGCCGGGAGCAAAGAGAUGAUUAAGACACCAUCCCAGGCCUCGAGCCCCACGAAACGCAGGGGAAGCGCCAUGCUAUGCAGCCAGCAAUCAUUUUACCUUUUAAGAGCUCUGAGAGAGACACCCACUGGAAAGGGGUGCAGAGGACCCCAGAGGAUCAACUAACCCAGUGUGGGAGGGUCAGGGAAAGCUUCAUAGAGGCCGUGACCCUUAGGGCAAAUCUUGAGAGGAAGAUGGCCAGGCAGAGGAAAUGGGAAAGUCUGUUCCAGCACCAUAUUUGCUAGAUUCUUGGCACUUUAUGUAUAGCAUCUCCUUUAAUCUUCACAACUACCCUGCUGCACAGCAUUUUAGAGGUGAGGAAACUAAGGCUGAGAGAGAUUAAGUUACUUGCCCAAGGGUACACAGAGACAAAGCCAGGACUAACUCAUAACAAAGUGGGUAGGUUUUAUUUGUUUGUUUUGCAUGUCAGAUUGCUUCUAGAAAUAACAGCAGGCUUCCUGUUAAUUCCAGGUGAGGUCCUGCUAUUUUAUAAUUGUGGUUUGUUCUUUCAGUGACAGGAGCAUGUGGUGUAUGGAUCCCACCUUACCCCAGUACUGUGCACUCCUCCCAAUGAUGGAGAGAUUGGGAGGGACCACCUGGCUAGGAUUGCUGGCUCUCCUGACACCUUCUCGUGGCAUCCAUGUGGUUUAUCCAGUUUUCUGAAAAUGAUACCUGCAAUAUAUCAGACAGAGGCUGAUCCAUUAGCUCAGGUUCAUCAGGUCCAGAAGGAAGAUGACAUGGACGGGAACCACAGCUGACCCAUAAUGGACAUUAAG